CUGGAGAGUAUGAUCGGGGCAGGGGUAGCUUGCUACCCGCGUGACCAGCGGCGGACGGGUGAGUAAUGCAUAGGAAUCUGCCCGGUAGUGGGGGAUAACCUGGGGAAACCCAGGCUAAUACCGCAUACGUCCUACGGGAGAAAGGGGGCUCCGGCUCCCGCUAUUGGAUGAGCCUAUGUCGGAUUAGCUAGUUGGUGAGGUAAAGGCUCACCAAGGCAACGAUCCGUAGCUGGUCUGAGAGGAUGAUCAGCCACAUCGGGACUGAGACACGGCCCGAACUCCUACGGGAGGCAGCAGUGGGGAAUAUUGGACAAUGGGGGCAACCCUGAUCCAGCCAUGCCGCGUGUGUGAAGAAGGCCCUCGGGUUGUAAAGCACUUUCAGCGAGGAAGAACGCCUAGUGGUUAAUACCCAUUAGGAAAGACAUCACUCGCAGAAGAAGCACCGGCUAACUCCGUGCCAGCAGCCGCGGUAAUACGGAGGGUGCAAGCGUUAAUCGGAAUUACUGGGCGUAAAGCGCGCGUAGGUGGCUUGA
rnacentral:rRNA from 1 species